rnacentral:rRNA from 1 species
GCUUGACUGUAUCCUGGAAUUGGGUUCGGCUUUUCUUGCGCAGCCUAGGUGGGAGGCAUUGAAGAUUUCUUUCCGGGAAGUUGGAGCCAUCAUUGAGAGACCACUCUGGAGAGGCUAGAAUCCUAAUGGUGAUCCUUGAAUCAGGACACUUGACAGUUUCAGGUGGCAGUUUUUCUGGGCGGAAACCUCAUAAAAGGUAACUGAGGCGCGCAAAGGUUCCCUCAGUCUGGACGGAAAUCAGACAACGAGUGUAAAGGCAAAAGGGAGCUUGACUGCAAGACCCACAAGUCGAGCAGGAGCGAAAGCGGCCUUAGUGAUCCGACGGUGCCGGUGGAAGGGCCGUCGCUCAACGAAUAAAAGUUA